ensembl:lncRNA
UAACCCCUCCCCGACCUUUAGCCCCUCCCCCCACACCCAUUAACCCUCCCCCAUUAACUCCUCCCCCACCCCUCCCCCACCCCAUUAGCCCCUCCCUCACCUUCCCCCAGCCCCGCCGGCAGCAGGCUCCGCCUCCUCCUCCUCCUCGUGGCCCCUCCCCCCCGGCGCAGCCGGCUCCACCCCUCCCCCGGGCGGGGCAGUGUCCGCUCUCCGGCCAGUUCGGCCACGGUCAGCGCCAGGCUGAAAAUGUCCGCGGGGGCGUGGCCCUGGCCCCGCCCACACAGCGCCUCGGGGGCGGAGUAACGGGCAUCGCCCCGCCCCCCCAGGGACACGCCCCCGUCCCGCGGUGACCCGCCCCGGGGGGGGGGGCCAGGGGGUUAAAGGUCGCGGUUAAUGGUCACUGUGGUUAAUGGUCACUGUGGGGGGAGGGGUCACUCCAGGGGCAGUGGUCACUGCAGUGGUCACUCCAGGCCCAGUGGUCACUCCGAAGUCGGCCAUGGGGUCAGUGGUCACUCCAGUGGUCACUCUGGGCCCAGUGGCCACCCAGGGCCAGGGGGGCACCCAGUGGUCACUCCGGGCCCAGUGGUCACUCCAGUGGUCACCCCGCAAGUCGGCCAUGGGGGUCAGUGGUCACUCCAGUGGUCACUCUGGGCCCAGUGGUCACUCCAGCGGUCACUCCGCAGUGGUCACUCCAGGCCCAGUGGUCACUCCAGUGGUCACUCCGGGCCCAGUGGUCACUCCAGUGGUCACUCGGGCCCAGUGGUCACUCCAAAGUCGGCCAUGGGGUCAGUGGUCACUCCAGUGGUCACUCCAGGCCCAGUGGUCACUCCAGUGGUCACUCUGGGCCCAGUGGUCACUCCGAAGUCGGCCAUGGGGUCAGUGGUCACUCCAGUGGUCACUCCAGGCCCAGUGGUCACUCCAGUGGCCACCCUGGGCCCAGCGGUCACCCGGAAGCGGCCAUGGGGUCAGUGGGUUGUCCAGUGGUCGUCCAGGUCCAGUGGUCACUCCGAAGUCGGCCAGCCGGCAGCGCCCCAGGGCGUCCAGCAGGAACCGUUGUCCACUUUCGGGCCGGCGGGUCGGCGGCCCGGGCGCAGCGCCAGCGGUCAGCGGCCCCCCAGGACGUCCCACAGGUAAGCCCGGAGUCGCCAGUGGCGGACAGGGUGGGACCCCGACCAGGGGUCAAUGGUGGUCAAGGGGUCAGUAGUGGCCGGAGAGUGGCCAGAGGUGGCCAGAGAGGGGUCAGACAUGGUCAAGGGGUCAGUUGUGGCCGGAGGGGGCUCGGACACUGCCCGGGGCAUGGCCACGCCCAUUUUCUGAUCAGCCACACCCCCCCGACCCUGAUUGGACGAUGUGGGACGGUCCAUAGACUCGGCCACGCCCUCCUGUGGCCGCUUGGCCAAUAGCAAAGCGCCUCCGGAGUUGGCCACGCCCCCUUUGAGCUCGCUGACCAAUGGCGAGGCAGAGUUUGUGUGCGCUAAUGAGGCCACACCCCCAGGGGGUGACGUCACCACCUCUGGUGAAGCCACGCCCCUUAAAAAUGAGGCCACGCCCCUGAAAACAGAGACUACGCCCAUAGAGGAAGCCACGCCCCAAAAUAUGAAGCCACGCCCCCAGAGGG